GACGAACGCUGGCGGCGUGCUUAUCACAUGCAAGUCGAACGAGGUCCACUGCGUAGCAAUACAAGGGAAGACCUAGUGGCGAACGGGUGCGUAACACGUGAGGAACUUGUCCCGGUCUCUGGGAUAACAGUUGGAAACGACUGCUAAUACCGGAUGACGUCGGAAUCUCGCAUGGGAUACUGACGAAAGGGUUACUGGAUCGGGAGAGCCUCGCGGCCUAUCAGCUUGUUGGUGAGGUAACGGCUCACCAAGGCAUCGACGGGUAGCUGGUCUGAGAGGAUGAUCAGCCACACUGGGACUGAGACACGGCCCAGACUCCUACGGGAGGCAGCAGUGGGGAAUCUUGCGCAAUGGGCGAAAGCCUGACGCAGCAACGCCGCGUGCGGGAAGAAGGCCCUUGGGUUGUAAACCGCUUUCAGUAGGAACGAAAAUGACGGUACCUGCAGAAGAAGGUGCGGCCAACUACGUGCCAGCAGCCGCGGUAAU
rnacentral:rRNA from 1 species